rnacentral:lncRNA from 1 species
UGAAGUGCUGACGGGUGGAGCGACACGGAGGAGCCUCAGAAACACCCACCAUGCUGCUGCCCGGAAGAGGCAGGCACGGAAGGCCACGCGCUCUAUGACCUCAUCCAUGGGAAACGCACAGAGGCGAGGCCUGCCCGGGGCUGGGAGGAGGGGGCACAGGAGCGCCGGCUGUGGGGAUGGUGUUUCUCCCGCCGGGGGUGGCUGGCUCACCCUGGCACUGCACCGCAGUGGGGGUGGACCGGAUGCCGCUGAACUGCCUGGACUUUCAAGAGGUAAAUUCCGAGCUCUGCUCUGAGGCCUGACCGUCCCUGGCCGCCAAGUGUCUGCUGACUGAGAGCUCCAGCUCCGGAGAGGUGCCCAGUACCUGGUGAGCAGAGGGACCUGAAGGAGCAGGUGCCUCUUCCUCAGACAUCUGCAGUCACUUCACAGUGAAUGAGGCUCCAGCCGGGUGCCCUGAGAAGUGGCCAACACCCUACCCAAGAGGAGACCGCACAGCCACGGCCAACGUGGAGCUCUAACUCAGGGCUCCAGCCUCCAGCCCAGUCCUUUUCCUUGAGUAGGGACGACCCCCACAGCGGCCUCUCUGCAUUGCUUAGGUGGGGAGCACAUGUGGUGAAGAUGGGCAGCCUGCAGGUGCCUGCUACACGUGGGGGCCACGGCCGACGGAAAGCUCAGUCAUGAGUGAAAACAGAGGAAAUGUUUCUGAAAAUAUAACAAGUCAGUGGGAAAUCAAAAAAAAAAAAAAAAAA